rnacentral:rRNA from 1 species
UACGGGGGGAGCAAGCGUUGUUCGGAUUUACUGGGCGUAAAGGGCGCGUAGGCGGCCGCCUAAGUCAGACGUGAAAUCCCUCGGCUCAACCGGGGAACUGCGUCUGAUACUGGGUGGCUUGAAUUCGGGAGAGGGAUGCGGAAUUCCAGGUGUAGCGGUGAAAUGCGUAGAUAUCUGGAGGAACACCGGUGGCGAAGGCGGCAUCCUGGACCGAGAUUGACGCUGAGGCACGAAAGCGUGGGUAGCAAACAGG